rnacentral:rRNA from 1 species
GAGUGGUAGCAUUUCUAGCGUUGCUAGAAGAUGACGAGCGGCGGACGGGUGAGUAAUGCUUGGGAAUAUGCCUUAUGGUGGGGGACAACAGUUGGAAACGACUGCUAAUACCGCACAACGUCUACGGACCAAAGGGGGGGAUCUUCGGACCUCCCGCCAUUUGAUUAGCCCGAGUGAGAUUAGCUAGUUGGUGAGGUAAUGGCUCACCAAGGCGACGAUCUCUAGCUGGUUUGAGAGGAUGAUCAGCCACACUGGGACUGAGACACGGCCCAGACUCCUACGGGAGGCAGCAGUGGGGAAUAUUGCACAAUGGGCGAAAGCCUGAUGCAGCCAUGCCGCGUGUGUGAAGAAGGCCUUCGGGUUGUAAAGCACUUUCAGUAAGGAGGAAAGGGUAGUCGUUAAUAGCGGCUAUCUGUGACGUUACUUACAGAAGAAGCACCGGCUAACUUCGUGCUAGCAGCCGCGGUAAUACGAGGGGUGCAAGCGUUAAUCGGAAUUACUGUGCGUAAAG